GCCGGGCGCGGUGGCGCAUGCCUGUAGUCCCAGCUACUCGGGAGGCUGAGGUGGGAGGAUCACUUGAGCCCAGGAGUUCUGGGCUGUAGUGCACUAUGCCAAUCAGGUGUCCGCACUAAGUUCGGCAUCAAUAUGGUGAUCUCCCGGGAGCGGGGGACCACCAGGUUGCCUAAGGAGGGGUGAACUGGCCCAGGUCGGAAACGGAGCAGGUCAAAACUCCCAUGCUGAUCAGUAGUGGGAUCGCGCCUGUGAAUAGCCACUGCACUCCAGCCUGGGCAACAUAGCGAGACCCUGUCUCA
rnacentral:SRP_RNA from 1 species